GCAAAAACCCAAAAGCAAUACUCAAAUCGACUAAUAGAACGUCGAUAACGGAAAAACUCGAGUCACAUACCUUCUCAGGCUUCCAACCAGCACCUCACUGGUUCAGAGCUGCGAAAACCCUUCCAAAACACUCUCUCACAUGUCUACGAAGGCUCAGCGACACCCGUAACCAGCGAAGAACGAGCAAGGCGACGAAAACGAGCGAAAUCGCCGAUUUCUAUGUAGAGAGAGAAAAACCCUAGAGAGAGAGAGAGAGAAUGGUGCAAGGAUCCUUCUCUGAGCUCUAGCAUCAUCUAUGGAGCUCCAGAGGUCGUGCUGGGGUCAAAGAGAUAGAGAUCAAGUGUGAAAUUACCGAAAUGCCCAAGCUGCCACGUUUCUGCAUUGUGUACCGGUACACCAUAAUGGCUGUACCGGUACACCAAGCAGAAAAAUGCUGAAUUUCGCCGGUUCAAAGCACUUUCUCACUUUUAACCCUCCAAUCACUCUCUAACUUGUCUAAAAACUUGUCUAAGUCCUUUAGCACAAGUAGGAGGGUUCCAAAUAUCAUUCCUCACACUCUAAUUUCGCAAUUUGCAAAAUUCAGUGUAUUACACCUAUUUCGCCGAUAGCUCUACACCCGCUCGAUGAAUCGUAAUUCCGACUUCGCCAACGCGUUUAGACACCUAGCAAUUAGGUUUACAAGGCCUCAAACGAGAUCAAUCUCAUCUAUUUCCGAAAAUCCCAUUUUGGGUGCCCUAGGGUUAGCAUCAUGCCAUUUGCACCAUGAAACCCUAGCCUCUAGCUCUAAUCCACCAACAAUGGUGCUAGAAGUCCAUUUGACCUCAUCUCAAAGCUCAAAACCCAAAAACCCUAAGUUCUACAAGCUAGGGUUUGUAGCUUACCUCUUGAGCUAUACCAAUGGAGAGGAGAGAAAAAGAGGAAGAUGCUCCAAGCCUUCUCUAGCUUGAUUUCCUCCUUCUUCUUC
rnacentral:lncRNA from 1 species